rnacentral:lncRNA from 1 species
AAGAAGCAGAAGUGUCAUUACCUUGCAGCUCAUGUCGACAAAAAGCUACACUGCACAUUUCUCUUAGGCUGCUAAGAGGAAGGAAACACAAAACACACACACACACACACACACACACACACACACACACACACACACACACACACAGAGGCCUCGUUUUCUGCAUGUAAAAUGUGUGUGUUCUUUAAAAGCCAGUGGUUGGCUGGUUUUCCGGACAUGAUGUGGUUGAAGCUGUCAUCGUAAUGGAAAUUCAUUGCUGUAGCUAUGAAAAGAAAAAAAGAAAAGAGUAAAUGAACGGUAAUAGAAAGACAAGAAAACAAUAAGCGAAACGAAGACGGGGUUUCAUCAUGUUGCCAGGCUGGUCUCGAACUCCUGAACUCAAGCCAUCCUCCUGCCUCCACCUUCCAAAGUGCUGGGACUAUAAGCAUGAGCCACCAUGCCCAGCCUAUAUUUAUAUUUUUAACAAUAAACAUGAUUUGAAUUUAUAAA